rnacentral:rRNA from 1 species
AACGAACGCUGGCGGCAUGCCUAACACAUGCAAGUCGAACGAGACCUUCGGGUCUAGUGGCGCACGGGUGCGUAACGCGUGGGAACCUGCCCUUAGGUUCGGAAUAACUCCCCGAAAGGGGUGCUAAUACCGGAUAAUGUCUUCGGACCAAAGAUUUAUCGCCUUUGGAUGGGCCCGCGUUGGAUUAGCUAGUUGGUAGGGUAAAAGCCUACCAAGGCGACGAUCCAUAGCUGGUCUGAGAGGAUGAUCAGCCACACUGGGACUGUGACACGGCCCAGACUCCUACGGGAGGCAGCAGUGGGGAAUAUUAGACAAUGGGCGAAAGCCUGAUCCAGCAAUGCCGCGUGAGUGAUGAAGGCCUUAGGGUUGUAAAGCUCUUUUACCCGGGAUGAUAAUGACAGUACCGGGAGAAUAAGCUCCGGCUAACUCCGUG